GUUUAUAAUAUUAAAUUGAAGUUAAUGGGUAGACUAUAUUAUGUAUAUGUUUUGUGUUACCAUUGCACUCAACCUUUACUAACAGAUUAAAUGGAGUGGUAGGAACCAGGAAGGAGCAGGGACAACCGCCGGUGAAGAGGUGGAACAAGUUAACAGCUACCUCUCUCGUUGUGCCCUUACGACAAAAUAUAUGUCGAAAGCAGCCCGGUUGGACAUGCUCACAUUGCAUGCAAUGUUGUGGAACCAGAAGAAAGGGGAUUCCUUACACCAGACUUGUCAGAGGCUCCUGGAUGAGACUGCAAUGCUAGCAGAGCUAAAAACCCAGCUACAUCUCUCAGAUGAAAUGGUGUCACAGUGGAUCUCAGAUGUGAUGGAAUGGGCAGCUGGUGAGACACGAGAUGCAUCUGACAACCUGCAAGGCACCACACACACAGGGCUUCAGCGGUCCAUUGAGGGGCUCUACCUCAGUGUGAGGCAGCGGAAGCUAAAUCUACAGCAACAAGCUUCGCCACCGGCUUCGGAGGAAGCUGGCAGAAGAGAAAAAGCUCAUUUUUCAGGAGAUACAAAAGCACAACAAGCUUGACUCUGCAGCCAACAUCGAUGCAGCUGUGGUGGAGCACUCCCUGAGUGGAGAGAGCACUGUGUCCCCAAUAUGGCC
ensembl:lncRNA